rnacentral:lncRNA from 1 species
GUUUUAGGUGGUUUCUCCUUGUGAGAUUUGGUUUUGUUUUCAGGUUUUAACCUGUUUUCCUCCUUAUGUAUUUCUUGUACCUAAGGUGGUUUUAUGAAUAUGCUGUUUCAAAAAAAAAAAAUCAGUUUUGGCAACUAGAAUGGGAUUGUAUAGGUGUGUUUUCUAUUAUCUGAUUUCACUACUAAUGUGUUUGAAUUGAAUUAAUCACAAGUACUAGUAUUGUUUAAUUCAAUUCAAGUACUCAAAGGUCGUUGAAUUGAAUUACAGAUAUGAUUUGGACGAAAGACGGCCCCAGAGGGAGGUAGAUAUCUUGCUCUGUGAUUUCUUUUCGCAACUUUCUCGUUUUCUAUGAUUUUGGAUUCUAUGAUUUUGAUUUUUGUCUUAUAUUUUAAGUUUGCAUCUUUCUCAUCUGAAUCAUUUAAUUUCUUUUCCUUAUUUGUGUUACCUAAUUUAAGCUUCAUAGCUUCCUCUGAAUUGAAGAAGAAUCGUUUAAUUUGUUUUUCCCUUUAUGUGUUACCUAG